GGCCUUCGGGCCCCUAGAGCGGCGGACGGGUGAGUAACACGUGGACAAUCUGCCCCCCGGUCCGGGAUAGCCCGGGGAAACCUGGAUUAAUACCGGAUGAGACGGGACCCGCGGAGGCGGGAUCCGGGAAAGGCGCUACGGCGCCGCCGGGGGAUGAGUCUGCGUCCCAUUAGCUAGACGGCGGGGUAACGGCCCACCGUGGCGACGAUGGGUAGCCGGCCUGAGAGGGUGGACGGCCACAUUGGAACUGAGACACGGUCCAGACUCCUACGGGAGGCAGCAGCUAAGAAUCUUCCGCAAUGGGCGAAAGCCUGACGGAGCGACGCCGCGUGAACGAAGAAGGCCGUGAGGUUGUAAAGUUCUUUUCGGGAGGGGGAACAACCGUGGCAGGGAAUGGCCGCGGGAUGACGUGAAUCCCGGAAUAAGCCCC
rnacentral:rRNA from 1 species